GGUGGUGGCAGGUGUUGCUGCUGCUGCUGCACCCUCCUCAGCUGCCCUCACAACAAGCCUUGAAUUGUUGUUCUUUGAAGGGAAAAACGCCAUGUUGCUGCUCCUAGAACCUGAGUUGGUGUUGGCUGCAACGUUAGGAGUUAACAAGAAACCUGAAGCAGCAGAUGCCAUGCUGCAGCUAGCCAUGUUCUGCCUCACUAAUCUCACUCUCUCUUCUCUCUAAUGGAAAAUAAAAGUGAUGAGUUCUAAAAAAAAGAACGGGC
rnacentral:misc_RNA from 1 species